rnacentral:lncRNA from 1 species
UGGUUACAGUAUAUCCUGUCUGAACUUCUGAUAAAGCACUAACUAAUUUGACUAUAACGUGUUUUUUUUUUGUUUGUUUGUUUUUUUUUUUUUGUUUUUUUUUGUUUUUUUAAGGAUUUGAAAUAAUAGAGAUCUUCUGAAAAGCUUCUUUGUUGCUACACCAAGACUACAGACAGAAAAACAAGCCCUGCCUUACUUGGGAGUCAGUGGCAAAGCAUCAGAUGUCUGAGUCUAUCCUAAACAAAGGUCCAGGCUGGAUUUUUUUGCCUUACCCCAGUUGUGAGCAGGCAAACAUCUUCCAGAAGAUAAAUUUAAGAGGUCCAUGUGCACUUACAGAUACACCAUGAUACCUGAUAAACCUGGAGUCAAUAUGUACAUCUUAGUGUCGGACUGUGUAUCUUACUCUUCAGAUCCCGUAAGGUUUCAAAACAUGUUGUUCAUGUGCAUUCCAGGAGGUAAUGCACCCUUUUCUACAGUGAUUUCUUUUCUUGUAUUAUCAAGACUAACCACGUGUAUUCUAUCAGUAAUGGGAUCAGGCAGGACUCAAAAACAAAACAAAACAAAAAAACCAAACCCCAAACGAACAACAAUAACAAAAACCCAAAACACCGAAACAAGAACAAUAAAAACCCACAAGAACAGAAAGAGGUU